UACGUAGGGGCCGAGCGUUGUCCGGAGUUACUGGGCGUAAAGCGCGCGCAGGCGGCGCAUCGCGCCCGGCGUGAAAGCCCCCGGCUCAACCGGGGAGGGUCGUCGGGGACGGGUGCGCUUGAGGACGGCAGGGGCAGGUGGAAUUCCCGGUGUAGUGGUGAAAUGCGUAGAGAUCGGGAGGAACACCCGUGGCGAAAGCGGCUCUCUGGAACGGUACUGACGCUGAGACGCGAAAGCGUGGGGAGCGAACAGG
rnacentral:rRNA from 1 species